CCAGCCUGCCCAGUGACUCUGUUCAACGGCCGCGGUAUCCUAACCGUGCGAAGGUAGCGUAAUCACUUGUUCUUUAAAUAAGGACUAGUAUGAAUGGCAUCACGAAGGUUAUACUGUCUCCCUUUCCAAAUCAAUGAAACUAAUCUUCCCGUGAAGAAGCGGGAAUAAAUUUAUAAGACGAGAAGACCCUAUGGAGCUUUAAACCUCUCAACAACUAUCUUUAUAUACACAUACUCCAGAGCAAUUAAAUUAACCCUGAUAACAUGUCUAUGAGGUUUUCGGUUGGGGUGACCGCGGAGCAAAACUCAUCCUCCGCAAUGAAUUAGAACCAUACUUCUAAACAAAGAAUAACAAUUCUAUGUAUCAAAAAACUGACAUAAUUGACCCAACAUUUUGAUCAAUGAACCAAGUUACCCUAGGGAUAACAGCGCAAUCCAUCUCAAGAGCUCAUAUCAACAGAUGGGUUUACGACCUCGAUGUUGGAUCAGGGUAUCCCAGUGGUGCAGCCGCUACUAAAGGUUCGUUUGUUCAACGAUUAAAACCCUACGUGA
rnacentral:rRNA from 1 species